UUUUGAUUAAACGAUGACUGUCACGUGUCAAGUUCUGAUUGAAUGUUGAUUCUAUGGACAAUGAAAAUGUAUUGUUGUUUUCCGCGUCCAAUCAGAAUGUGGCAUGUGACAGUUAGUAUUC
rfam:Glycine max cultivar Williams 82 chromosome 17, whole genome shotgun sequence.